UACGGGGGGGGCAAGCGUUGUUCGGAAUUACUGGGCGUAAAGGGCGCGUAGGCGGCCUUCUAAGUCGGACGUGAAAUCCCUCGGCUUAACCGAGGAACUGCGUCCGAGACUGAAAGGCUUGAAUCCGGGAGAGGGAUGUGGAAUUCCAGGUGUAGCGGUGAAAUGCGUAGAUAUCUGGAGGAACACCGGUGGCGAAGGCGGCAUCCUGGACCGGCAUUGACGCUGAGGCGCGAAAGCUAGGGGAGCGAACGGG
rnacentral:rRNA from 1 species